GAAUUAAAAAUAACUUUCUUUUUAGAGAGUUUGAUUUAUUUCCUUACACUGUGCACACACUUCUUUUUCACACAUUUUAACACUAUAGUAUAAGAAUGUAACAGUCUCUUAAUUGAGCAUAAAUAAAAAUAAAACUUUCAGCAACGGAUCUCUUGGCUCU
rnacentral:misc_RNA from 1 species